GCAAGUCGAGCGAUCCCUUCGGGGAUAGCGGCGGACGGGUGAGUAACGCGUGGGAACAUACCCAGAGGUACGGAACAACAGUUAGAAAUGACUGCUAAUACCGUAUACGCCCUACGGGGGAAAGAAUUUCGCCUUUGGAUUGGCCCGCGUUGGAUUAGAUAGUUGGUGGGGUAACGGCCUACCAAGGGUACGAUGGGUAGCUGGUCUGAGAGGACAAUC
rnacentral:rRNA from 1 species